UACGUAGGGGGCAAGCGUUGUCCGGAAUUAUUGGGCGUAAAGAGCUUGUAGGCGGUCUGUCGCGUCUGCUGUGAAAAUCCGGGGCUCAACCCCGGACUUGCAGUGGGUACGGGCAGACUAGAGUGUGGUAGGGGAGACUGGAAUUCCUGGUGUAGCGGUGAAAUGCGCAGAUAUCAGGAGGAACACCGAUGGCGAAGGCAGGUCUCUGGGCCGAUACUGACGCUGGAGGAGCGAAAGCGUGGGGAGCGAACAGG
rnacentral:rRNA from 1 species